rnacentral:rRNA from 1 species
GACGAACGCUGGCGGCGUGCCUAAUACAUGCAAGUCGAACGCUUCUUUCCUCCCGAGUGCUUGCACUCAAUUGGAAAGAGGAGUGGCGGACGAGUGAGUAACACGUGGGUAACCUACCCAUCAGAGGGGGAUAACACUUGGAAACAGGUGCUAAUACCGCAUAACAGUUUAUGCCGCAUGGCAUAAGAGUGAAAGGCGCUUUCGGGUGUCGCUGAUGGAUGGACCCGCGGUGCAUUAGCUAGUUGGUGAGGUAACGGCUCACCAAGGCCACGAUGCAUAGCCGACCUGAGAGGGUGAUCGGCCACACUGGGACUGAGACACGGCCCAGACUCCUACGGGAGGCAGCAGUAGGGAAUCUUCGGCAAUGGACGGAAGUCUGACCGAGCAACGCCGCGUGAGUGAAGAAGGUUUUCGGAUCGUAAAACUCUGUUGUUAGAGAAGAACAAGGACGUUAGUAACAGAACGUCCCCUGACGGUAUCUAACCAGAAAGCCACGGCUAACUACGUGCCAGCAGCCGCAGUAA